UGAAGCCGGAAUUGCUAGUAAUGGCAGGUCAGCAUACUGCCGUGAAUACGUUCCCGGGCCUUGUACACACCGCCCGUCACACCAUGAGAGUUGGGGGGCGCCCGAAGCCACUUAGCUAACCCAUUUGGGAAGCGAGUGUCGAAGGUGAAAUCAAUAACUGGGGUGAAGUCGUAACAAGGUACC
rnacentral:rRNA from 1 species